GCAUCAAACACGGAACAGGAAAAAGAGAAAGAGAAGAAGGCAAUUUGCGCAUGGUCACGUCCUUCCAUUUCUCUCUGUUAUUGUUCUAAUACAUGUUUUGCAUUGAAUUUCUACCUGAGGAUUUUGAAGCUAGAUUUUUUAUAGUGGUAUUGGAGCAAUGUCGAGUGUGCCUGCUCCCAAUCGUUCAUCCGCCGGCUGGCCGCGCGGGGUCAGUCAGUUUGGCGGGAACAAAUACAUGAGCGCGCCUGCAAAACCACUCAGCCUGGAGAGAACCAUUAAUUUAUACCCUCUCACCAACUACACAUUUGGGACCAAGGAGCCUCUGUAUGAGAAGGACAGUUCAGUGGCAGCACGGUUCCAGAGGAUGCGGGAGGAGUUUGACAAGCUGGGCAUGCGGAGGGCGGUGGAGGGAGUGCUUAUUGUCCAUGAGCACAGGUUGCCCCAUGUACUGCUGUUGCAGCUGGGAACCACCUUCUUCAAACUGCCAGGUGGAGAGCUGAGCCCAGGGGAGGAUGAGGUGGAUGGGCUGAAACGCCUGAUGACAGAGAUCCUGGGCCGGCAGGACGGGGUGAAGCAGGAUUGGGUGAUUGAUGACUCCAUCGGAAACUGGUGGCGCCCCAACUUUGAACCCCCACAGUAUCCCUACAUUCCAGCCCACAUCACUAAACCCAAGGAGCAUAAAAAGCUCUUCCUGGUUCAACUGCAGGAAAAAGUGAUAUUUGCUUCUGUGUCUUUCAGCUCUGUUUGCAGUCCCAAAGAACUACAAACUGGUGGCAGCCCCUUUGUUUGAGCUUUAUGACAACGCCCCCGGCUAUGGGCCAAUCAUAUCCAGCCUACCGCAACUACUAAGCAGGUUCAACUUUAUCUACAACUAAAUGGUGUGAGAAUGGGCACAGUGGCUGGCUGUCUCUGUGAGUGCAGCCAUAUAUGGGUGAAAUGAAGACAUGGAGGGGAAGUAAUACAAUGUGCGGCAAUCAAAAUAAGCAACACAAGGCUACUCACCUCUGGCUUCCCGGUAAGGCUGAACAAAAAACCCACCAUCUCAAGAGAAGGGACUGUAAAUGUGCUCUUUACAAUGAUGGAAGAAAAUAUACUGUCAGACUUUUUGUUUGGAUCUUAAAUAAUUCUGUCAUUUCUUACAUUAUUAAACUGCAACCCAGUGUCUCAAGAAUCAGAUUUUAUGCUCUUGCAACAGAAUACAUUUAUUUGAUUAAAGAAACAACAGCAUUGAGUUUCCUGUUGUGAUUUAAGCUGUAUUACUGUCAUGCUAUUUCUUUUUCUUCAAAAAAAUAAAAUUAGUCUUUUCAUGAAGACUGGCUUUUAUAAGAA